UACAGAGGGGGCAAGCGUUGUUCGGAAUUACUGGGCGUAAAGGGCGCGUAGGCGGCCUGCUAAGUCGGACGUGAAAUCCCUGGGCUCAACCCAGGAACUGCGUCCGAUACUGGUUGGCUUGAAUCCGGGAGAGGGAUGUGGAAUUCCAGGUGUAGCGGUGAAAUGCGUAGAUAUCUGGAGGAACACCGGUGGCGAAGGCGACAUCCUGGACCGGUAUUGACGCUGAGGCGCGAAAGCCAGGGGAGCAAACGGG
rnacentral:rRNA from 1 species